GAGAGAUCCCAGGAGACCUGACAAAGGCCCACAGAAGGAAGAAGAACCAUAGGGCAGAAUACAGGCAUGGGCCCUAUAAGCCUGCUAUUUGAUCUGGCCUCACAUACUGAGGACUCAGAUCUCCUCCAUUUGGACCUGCAGCUAGACUUCAUUCAACUGCCAUUUAGUAUGUGU